rnacentral:tRNA from 1 species
AGUCUGGUGCCUGAUAAAAAGGACUACCUUGAUGAGGUAGAAAAUGCAACAUGUUGCCCAGACUA